AUUUUGUCUCUAAGCUCACCAGUCUACCUUUCCAGCAGUGCCAGCACAGUAUCACCGCCGUCGAUUGCCAGCCUUCCGGUCGAA